rnacentral:lncRNA from 1 species
GUCGGAGUGAACCCCACGGGCGGUUCUGACUCAGCUCUCAGGGUAGGGGACAGAGAGAGAAAGUAAGGUCCGUCCACGGCGAGCAAGCAUUAUUGAGGAAGAAAGCCGCCCGCGCCCUCCAUGGCCACCUGAGCGGAUGUUCUCACCUAUUCGAGAACUAAUGGGUGUAUGUGUAAAAGGUGGGCUAGGGCCAGGCCCACGUUUUGUAAACACACAGGCCGGGCCUGUAAUCCUAGCGACUUGGGAGGCCGAGGCGGGAAGAUCACUUGAGGCCAGGAGUUCGAGACCAGCCUGGGUAGGUAACAGAGGGCAACGCCAUCUCCGUUUUUUAAAAAAAUAAAUAAUAAAAAUAAAGAAAUAAAAGGUGAGCUGGGUGGGAUGAGGAUGAUGAAGUUAGAUGACUUAGCAGCUGUUUUGUAGAAAUCCCACACUUCCAAUUCAGUUUCUCCUGGGGUGGGUAGGCAGGCAUAGGGAAAUCUGGGGAUCUCAGCCUUUGUGAGACCAAACUGGCCCUGGAUUUAGAGGUUCAUCUUUCUCUGGGGUUUCUCAUGGGUGCUAACUGUGUGUCCAAGAUUUCCAGAGCAGGACCAGAUAACAUUCAGGCUCUUUGUCUUCAUAAGUUUACUCACUCUUGUGUAUGGAUUUGGGGUUCAGAAAGUACAUCCUUUAUCUAUGGCCUUUGUUGAGCUGAAGAAUAUUUCUGGGGCGGAGUGCUAGGCAGGUCUAUGUGACUGAUGUGACUCUGCCACAAAGUGCAGGAAAGGGGGAUGCUGCAUCCUCUGGCUUUCACCUGUGUGAAGAUUUUAUACUUUAUUGAGCACACAUUAAGUGCUCUGUUUGAGAAGCUCUGCAGCGUGUUUACAAAAUUUUAAGCAUAGAUCUGUUUCUAAGUCAAGAUAGUUUCUUUCUGAGACAGGGUGUCGCUCUGUCGCCCAGGCUGGAGCAUUGGCACGAUCAUGGCUCACUGCAGCCUCCACCUCCUGAGCUCAAGCAGUCCUCCUGCCUCAGCCUCCCAAGUAGCUGUGAUCACAGGCAUGCACCACCAUGCCUGGCAAAUUUUUUUUUAGAUUUGUUUUUGUAGACACAAGGGUCUCCCUAUGUUGCCCAGGCUGGUUUUGAACUCCUGGGCUCAAGCAAUCCUCUUGCCGUGGUCUCCCAAAGUCCUGGGGUUACAGGCAUGAGCCACUGGGCCUGGCCAGGAGCUUUAUGAGUUUUUGGAAAUAAAUGCAUGACCAAAGUGCAGGCUGAUGAAUAGCACUCACAACAGGCAGUUUGCCAGAUGUCACCAAAUUUAUUGUAAGCAGUGUUUUGGUAAGCAGAAAUUGAUAUACAGAUAAGAAUGGUGGUAUUUUGGCAGCUCUGAUUAAUUGCUGGUAUCAAUGAAUGAAAAAUUUUCUUUGACAUUACUGCUUUCAGUGUCAUAUUUCAUGUGAAAUAAAUUACAGGUUAGACAAUUUCAUUUUGAAAUACAAAGAGCCACAUGACUUAGUUUUUGCAGAGUGAUGAACUCAGACAUCAUCAAAAAAUAGUUUUGUAGGAGGAAUAGUAGCCAUGCAGAAAUGCAGAAAUUAGAAGGUAUUGUCUAGGGAGCAUCAGUACAUGACUGAAUGAGACACUGAGAGAUGAAGUGCCUGU